rnacentral:misc_RNA from 1 species
GAUGAGACGCAGCGAAAUGCGAUAAGUAAUGUGAAUUGCAGAAUUCAGUGAAUCAUCGAAUCUUUGAACGCACAUUGCGCCCCCUGGUAUUCCGGGGGGCAUGCCUGUCCGAGCGUCAUUACAACCCUCAAGCUCAGCUUGGUGUUGGGCCCCGCCGCCCCGGCGGGCCCUAAAGUCAGUGGCGGUGCCGUCCGGCUCCGAGCGUAGUAAUUCUUCUCGCUCUGGAGGUCCGGUCGUGUGCUCGCCAGCAACCCCCAAUUUUUUUCAGGUUGACCUCGGAUCAGGUAGGGAUACCCGCUGAACUUAAGCAUAUCAAUAAGCGGAGGA